rnacentral:lncRNA from 1 species
AUUCUCCAGGAAGAUUGAAUGCACGAGCCUGCCCUCCUGCCCCAGCUCCAGGCCACGCAUCUCCACGCUGUGUGACUUCGGGCAAACCACUCUCCUGCUCUGUAAAAUGGGGAGGGUCGCGGCACCGGCCACCAACACAAGACAGUCGCCCCGCACUCUGGGCUCAUCGGUGCCAGACGCCAGGAUAAACCCGUGGCCGGCAUUGACGUGCGUCUUCCUCGCAAGGUCGGGGGUGGUGUGACCCCAUUUACAGCCGAGACAACUGAGGCAGAGUUCGCCAAGAGGGAACAGAAGCACAGAGAGGUUAAGCGACUCGCCCGAAGUCACACAGCUGGUCUAGCCAGGAUUUCAACCAGGAAACAGGUAAACAAGCGAAUCAGAAGGUCUUCAGUUUCCAGGCUGAGGACUCAC